UGAUCCUGUUCCUGUCUGUCAUGCUUGUCAUCACCCUGCUCCUGUCAGUCUUGUCUUGCUCAUUGCCUCUGCCCCUCCCGUCACUGAAAACUCAAUCAGCUCAUUUUACUCACCUGUUCCUGUCAGUAUAAAACUCAGCUCCAGCCUCCAGUCCCUUGCCAGAUUUUCAUUAGCCCCGUCUAUGAACUUCCAGCGAUCUUGUUCCAUGUCCUACUCUUGCCUUGUGAUCCUGACCCUUUUCAUGUCUCUUGGUUUAACGAAUCCUGCCUCAGUCCUUGUCGGUUCCUGCCUGCCAUCUGCUCUCACGGUAACGACUUUGUUUCUGUCUCUCGGACUCAUCUCUCUCGUCUCACCCCUGAAUGGUACCACGCCACAUCGGACUUCCUGGAUCUCGACCACGGAACCCUUCUCUGGACCAACGACUCUGUCUGUCCCAUCCAACCUGGUAACACUCUCUGAUUAUCCGUGUAUGACCUUGGCUUUGUUUGUGACAAAGAGAAACCCCCGCAACAUAAUUCCUGUGGCUACCGCUCCCCGGAACCAAAACCACACGGCUGUUGUUUCCGCCCGGACCCAGUCCCGCAUCAGAAGACCAGCCGUUUCCGGGUUCCUGGCUCCCAUCGUCAACAGCACUUUUUCAUAAUAAACUUGUUAAAUUGC